rnacentral:rRNA from 1 species
GACGAACGCUGGCGGCGUGCCUAAUACAUGCAAGUCGAACGGAAAGGCCCUGCGCUUGCGGGGCUCUUGUGUGGCGAACGGGUGAGUAUCACGCGUGUAUCCCCUCCUUGACUUUGGGAUAUCUCUAGGAAACAGGGUCUAUAAUAGGAUAGGAGCUUUUGCUCCACGUUGGGGGUUGGUAAGUUUCGGCGGUGCGGGAUGGACUCGCGGCUUAUCCGCUUGUUGGUGGGGUAGUGGCUUACCAAGGCUUCGACGGGUAGCCGACCUGAGAGGGUGACCGGCCACAUUGGGACUGAGGUACGGACCAGACUCCUACGGGAGGCAGCGGUGGAAAAUAUUGCGCAAUAGGCGGAAGCCUGAUGCAGCGGCGCCGCGUGCGGGAUAACGGCCUUCGGGUUAUAAACCGCUUUCGCCUGUGACGAGGCGUGAGUGACGGUAAUGGGUAAGGAAGCACCGGCUAACUACGUG